ensembl:snRNA
GUGUUGUAUGAACGGAGAGAAGGUUAGCACUCCCCUUGACAAGGAUGGAAGAGGCCCUUGGGCCUUACCACACACAUAUGGUUAAGGCAUUGCCACCUACUUUGUGGCAUCUAACCACUGUUU